CUCAACCUCCUGAGUAGCUGGGACUACAGGCGCCCGCCACCAUGCCCGGCUAAUUUAUUUAUUUAUUUUUUAGUAGAGAUGGGGUGUCACCCUGUUAGCCAGGAUGGUCUCGAUCUCCUGACCCCGUGAUCCCCCCGCCUCGGCCUUUUUUUUUUUUUAGUAGAGAUGGGGUUUUGACAUGUUGGCCAGGCUGGUCUCGAACUCCUGACCUCAACUGGCCCACCCGCCUUGGCUCCCAAAGUGCUAGGAUUACAGGCCUGAGCCACCACACCCGGCUCACAAUACCUUUUACUGUAUUAGCCAAACACAAAAUGGAUUGUGAGAACUCACUCAAUAAAUCUGUAAUUGGUUUUUAAAUAUAAUAGGAUAGAACACAUGUAUAUUAAUUUUAGGCAAAUAAAAAGUAUAUUUCAGCCCUUUAAGAAUGUGAAUCUAGCCAGGCGCAGUGGCUUACGCCUGUAAUCCCAGCACUUUGGGAGGUCGAUGCGGGUGGAUCAUUUGAGGUCAGGAGUUCGAAACCAGCCUGGCCAACAUGGUGAAACCCUGUCUCUACUAAAAAUACAAAAAUUAGCUGGGCGUGGUGGUACAUGCCUGUAAUCCCAGCUGCUUGGGAGGCUGAGGCAGGAGAAUCGCUUGAACCUGGGAGGUAGAGUUGCAGUGAGUUGAGAUCGCGCCACUGCACUCCAGCCUAGGUGACAGAGCGAGACUCUUUCUCAAAAAAAAAAAAAAAAAAAAAAUCUGAAUCUAAAUGGAAUAAUUUGUCUUUUCCCCACACUGAUUUAGCUGUGAUGUCCUCUUUUAUUAUUCCAGAAUCCUGAUCAUGACUUGGUUACAACUAAGACUAAAGAGAUAGAAAAGGCCAAAACAAACUACAAAAACAAAAACAAAAAAAAACAAUGGCCGGGAGCAGUGGCUCAAGUCUGUAAUUCCAGCACUUUGGGAGGCCAAGGUGGAAGGAUUGCUUGAUCCCAGGGCAACAUGGCAAAACCAAGUCUCUACAAAAAAUUUAAAAAAAAAUUAGCGGGGCAUGAUGGCAUGUGCCUGUCAUCCCAGCUACUCAGGAGGCUGAGGUGGGAGGAUUGUUGAGCCCAGGAGGUCAAGGCUGCAGUGAGCUGCCUGGGCAACAGAGUGAGACUCUUUCUUUAAAAAAAAAAAAAAAAAUGCUUUUCAGAUGGGAAUUUAUGGGGAGUAGUUGAGAAUACCAUUUCUGGAUGAGGACACUUGGACUAUUCCAGCGGACAUCCAGCUCCAUUACCAACACCACCACUGAAGAGAGUGUUGGGGGCUGGGGAGCGGAAGAGAGGAGGGUAGGGUCGGCAGAGAUGCAGACAUAGGGAGACAGACAGGGAGAAGGUGAGAUAAGGGAGAAAUAGAAGAAAUAAUCCAAAACAUAGGACUUUUUUUUAGAAGAAAAUGUAAAAAUGCAUUCUCUGGCAUAAGGAACAGUUUAGGAUCAUAGGGUAAGAUUUUGAUUUUAAAUGUUUUGAGGCCAUUUUCUUUAGGCCUAAGCCACUGGGUAGAUUUAGAUGGUGGGAGAGAUUAUUACAGCUUUCUCAUGGGAAGCAUUUCCUUUGCGAUACCCUCUUCUUGAAAGCUUCACUCACUUCGGUUUUAUUAUAGGGAAUGACUGAUAAUAUGCCAAUCCCACACAUCUGUCUCAGUGGGUAAAUAAAUCACAGGAAAGAAGAAUUUUGGUUUAAAGGGUAGAAAUUCCAGCCCGACUUUGAUUUCUGCAACCAUCAGCACAUCAUAGGAAUCCCACAAUUGCUACCCCAGUAGAAUGGGUAGUGCCAGCUAUAUAUGGAGCCUGCCUUAUUGCCAUGGUGGCCUGUGCCACAGGGGGAGGCAGGCAGCUCACACCUCCUCAGCCCCGCAGGAGCUCAGCAAUUCCUUUCCAGGAAGGAAUGAAGGAAGGAAGGAUCCUUCACUCCUUACCUGGGAAUUGUGUCCUUGCAGGUUGCUAUUUUUCAUGGGCUUGGCUGCUUGAGCACCCUGGGGGCCCAUAUAAUACAUGAACCACUUUUCAGCACCAUGUCUCUUAAAUUAUUCUCUGUGUCCAUCUAUAUUUACUGUACAGAGAUGGUUUCAACAAACAAGGUGGUCUCAUUUGAUAUGGAGUUAAAGCCAGCAGUUGCUUUGCACAGAAGAUCCACAGAUUUGGUGGUGCUGUUAUUUUUUAAUGUUUAUCUAAAACAUAAAAAGGAUUUUACUCAUGGGAUCCUCACCCACACCCCCCAGUUCUCAGUUAGAAUCUGUUUUUAACAGGAGCUCUUACUAAACCUUAGUAAGAAAGGAAAAAAAGAAAGAGGAGUUACAAAUUAUGACUCCAGGGGCUGGCUGAAUUAGCUUAUAUUAGAGAGUGAGCUGGCGGCAGGUAUCAGUCUUUACUGUGUUUCUGCCUCUAGGGAGUUUGUUGAAUGUGCUUUUGCGAUGUAAUUUAUAAGGAAAUUGGUUUUACCCAAAAGGACGUUUUUGCUUUAUGUCUUGCAGCACCGUUGAGUGCUUAGAAAAAAGGAGAAGGUAAUUCCAUUAAGCUUUCAAUUUUCACUGGCAAAAGAAAUGAACUAGAUGUGAUUGGAAAGAUAAGGCACUGGCCUUCACUUGAAUGACCUUGCUACAGGGGUUGGGGAAUAAGAAGCAUGGCCUUUGUUCCAGAGAUGUCAUUUCAUGUUUAAUUAGAGGGCCAGAGUGCCAUUUUUCUUCUUUAUAAACCCCAAUCUCACCCUGCUGAGAAAAUAUCCAUUAAGUUCACAGUAGGCAGAUCAUCGGAUCAUCAUCCUAACAAUUUUGGGAGUCAUGUGCUCAUGCUGGUGACGCUUCGUGAACUAAAGAGCAUGGGCAGGCCGGGUGUGGUGGCUCACGCCUGUAAUCUCAGCUCUUGGGAAGCCAAGGUGGGAGGAUCAUCUGAGGUCUGGAGUUCAAGACCCCCCAGCUUGGGCAACAUGGCAAAACCCCGUUUCUACUAAAAAUACAAAAAUUAGUCGGGCGUGGUGGCAGACGUCAGUAGUCCCAGCUACUCGGGAGGCUGAGGCAGGAGAAUCGCUUGAACCUGGGAGGUGGAGGUUGCAGUGAGCCGAGAUUAUGCAGUGGCACUCCAGCCUGGGCGACAGAGCAAGCUCCCAUUUCAAAAAAAAAAAAAAAAAAAAAAAGCGCGGUCAAUGUUAAAAUCGAGACAUGCAUGGAAGAGACAGGCCUGAUGUUUGGGAAAGUGCAGAUCGCCCUUGCAUGGAAGUCAGCAGUCCAUUCAGCCAAACCAAAAGGUUUCAGUAGAAUUCCCCAAUUCUCUUACUGAAUCCACUCUCUUCAUCUAUUUUUUGAAGGACAUAAGGCAAAAGUAACUUCAAAAUUAAAUAAAUUGGCUGGGCGCAAUGCUCACACCUGUAAUCCCGGCACUUUGGGAGGCCAAGGCAGGAGAAUUGCUUGAGCCCAGGAGUUUGAGACCAGCCUUGGCAACAUGGCAAGACCCAGUCUCUACAAAAAGUUACCUGGGGCGUAGUGACAUAUGCCUGUAGUUCCAGCUACUCAGGUGGCUGAAGCAGGAAGAUCGCUUGAGCCCAGGAGUUCGAGGCUGCAGUGAGCCGUGAUGGUGCCACCGCACGCUAGCCUAGGCAACACAGAGAAAUCCUAUAUCAAAAAUAAGUAGGCCAGGCAUGGUGGCUCACGCCCGUAAUCCCAGCACUUUGGGAGGCUGAGGCGGGCAGAUCACGAGGUCAGGAAAUCAAGAGCAUCCUGGCCAAUAUGGUGAAACCCCAUCUCUACUAAAAGUACAAAAAUUAGCUGGGUAUUGUGGUGUGCGCCUGUAGUCCCAGGUACUCGGGAAGCUGAGGCAGGAGAACUACUUGAACCCGGGAGGCGGAGGUUGCAGUGAGCCAAGAUUGUGCCACAGCACUCCAGCCUGGCGACAGAGCGAGACUCUGUCUUAAAGAGAAAAAAUAAAUAAAUAAAUAAAAUUAAGGAAAUAAUCUCUGUUGCUCAAAGUUAAGAUGUUUUCAUGUAUCUGGUAGGGUUUCUAACACAAUCAAGUUCUAAACUGGUGCCUCCAAAUGAGAAGCUGGAUACAGUACUGCAAUGCUGUGUUUUUGUUUUUCCCUUUUUGUGGGUGAUCACUUAAAAAUAGAGUUUCGGGAAGGCACGGUGGCUCAUGCCUGUAAUUCCAGCACUUUAGGAGGCCAAGGCUGGAGGAUUACUUGAGGCCGGGAGUUCAAAACCAGCCUUGGUAACAUAGCAAGACCCUGUCUCUAUACACACACACACACAUACAGUAUUUUAUUCUCUAAAAUGGAACUGUCCAAAAUGGUAGCCAUUAGCUACAUGGCUAUUUAAAUUUAAACUGGGCCAGGUGCACUGGGGCAUGCCUGGGGGUCCCAGCCACUUGAGAAGCUGAGUUGGGAGGAUCGCUUGAGCCUGGGAGGUCAAGGCUGCAGUGAGCUGUGAUUGUGCCACUGCACUCCAGCCUGGGUCCUCAUUACCAUCCCCCCACCCAAAAAAAUAAAAAUACAAAUAAAGAAUAAUUUAAACUGAUUACAAUUAAAUCCAAUAAAAAUUCACUUCCUGGCUUCUUUGGUUUCCUGGUAAAAAAAAAAUUCACUUCCUCAGUUACCGCAGCCACAUUUCCAGGGUUCAGUAGCCACAUGUGGCUAGUUGCUACCAUAUCGGGCAGCA
rnacentral:lncRNA from 10 species